rnacentral:lncRNA from 13 species
CUCCCUCACACUCCCUCCCUCGCACACAGGGACACGCACACGCCCUGCGCGCGCGCGCGCGGGGGGCGCGCACCUGCGCUGCGCCUUCGGGCCCCCCCCCCCCCCCCCCCCCCCCCCCCCCCCGCCCCCCCGGGCCCCCNCCGCUGGCGCCUGGAAGGGACCGCGGCGACCCCUCCGUGCCUCGUCCUCCUCCUCCUCCUUCCUUCAUCCAUCCUUCCUCCGACCCGCCGGGGGACAGCCCAGUUCCUAACAAGGAGGAAGAUAGAGAUCAAGCCUUGGAAGACACUCCCUAGGAAAUGGGGGAUCCCUAUCUCCUGACAUGUAGAUCAGCUGCUGGGAUGGCUUGAGACUGGAAAAGAACCAAGAGCACAAAAGUAACUUAAAGACGUCCUGUCCUCCCGAGGACUGAGGUACAAGGAAAAGCUUGCACUAUUUCUGGAUGGAGUGAACCCUCCAGUCGUCAGGACUACCAAUGCUGAAGUCACAGGGGGGAAAAUAAGGGAGGUAAAAUAUCCUGCCUCUGCCAGCAUUACUAAUCAAGUACUAAUGGUUAUGACAUGAACAUUUUCUAUGGCAGCUGGUGCAUUGCUAAACUAAUAUAUAUUCCUUAAUACUAUUUUCCAUAUUAUUAUGUCUGGCAUUAUCUCUAGAUAUAAUACAAUUUUGCUGCUAUAACAGAAUAAAAUACUACACAUCCACAGUUUAUAGAAAUUCCUCUUCCCUGCUCUGUCUUUGCAAUGGACCAAACCACCUGAGUAAGUGAAGUAACAGCUCAUUUGUCACUGUCCCAGCCACUUGUAAAAACCCCUUGCUAGGAAUCAUGUUCAAACUGCUUUUUGGCUUUUGUCCUGUUGAAAAGAUUCGUUGAAAGUCUUGAACCUGCAGCAAGAACUUGU